AAUACAUGCUUCCAGGGUAAUAUUACCUCUUUUACGGAGAGGGAAACUAAGCAUAGCAAUAAAGGAACUUACCCAAAGUGGGAAUCAACCAUGUACCCUGGCCACCACUUCCUAUUACCUCCACUCUACUUGGUCUGAUGAUUAUCUUUCUUGACUUCUUCCCAUCCUCCUCUUCAUCACCUCCAGGAUGUGAAUGUAGAGUCCAGAGCAGAAGGAUGUGUCACCCAGCUGUCAUUUCUGUGAUCAACCCCGGGGAAGAAUAGGUCUUAGGUUUCUUUUUUUUUUUUGCCUCCAGGGUUAUUGCUGGGGCUCAGUGCCUGCACCACAAAUCCACUGCUCCUGGAGGCCACUUUUCCCAUUUUGUUGCCCUUGUUGUUGUGCUUGUUGUAGUUGUUAUUGUUGUCAUAGCUGUUAUUGUUGUUGGAUAGGACAGAGAGAAAUGGAGAGAGGAGGGGAAAACAGAGAGGAGGAGAGAAAGACAGACACCUGCAGACCUGCUUCACAGCUUGUGAAGCGACCUCCUGCAAGUGGGGAGCCAGGGGCUCGAACCGGGAUCCUUAUACCAGCUGGCCCUUGUGCCUUGCGCCAUGCACGCUCAACCCGCUGUACUACUGCCCGACUCCCCAAGUCUUAGGUUUCUUGUAGAUGAACUAUUGGGAUUGAAAUUUUUUUUUUUUUUUUUUUUUUUUUUUUAGUUCAGUAGCCCAUGUGCUUUGAUGGUCUGUCCCAGCUACAAUAAAUAAAUUGGUAAAAAUCAGCGGCAUGAUUCCCUAUUAUAUUGUCUCCUGUGGGUAUUAAGAGGCUACUGCUAGAUUUCAGACUCUUCUCACAGGGAUGCUCCCGCAGUCAUACCAAGAAUUCAGAAGGACUGAGUGAGCAGCUGAAUAGACCAGAUGUCCGUCCAGGAAACCUUGUGCUAGUUCUUGUCACCAGCUGCCAGGUGAAGGUCAGUAGAACGCAGCUGUAGGUGCAGGCAGGAUUUGCAAGGCUUAGGCUGAACUGAACGGUGAGCAGUGAGACCUUCAGUACCUUCUCUCUGCUUCUCAUUUAUCUCGAAGAGUUUCUCUUGACCAUCAAGUUGAAAAGAAUGUACUGGGACUAGAUGUGGGGUGGAAUGUAACUUUCAGAGCAGAAGUCCUGGGACAGGCCUGCAACCUGAAACAGGAAGCUGAGGGACAGUGCUCAUCAAAUGUUGACGCAUCCAAUCCACCAGGUUCCAGAUGCUACCAUGAUGCCAACGGGACUUCCCAGGACAGACAACCCUACCAAUGUGUGCUGGAGCCCACCUUCCCAGAGCCCCAUCCCACUAGAAAAAGAAAGAGACAGGCUGGGAGUAUGGAUUUACCUGCCCACAUCCAUGUUCAGCUGGGAAACAAUUACAGAAGCCAGACCUUCCACCUUCUGCAUCCCACAAUGACCCUGGGUCCAUACUCCCAGAGGGAUAGAGAAUAGGAAAGCUGUCAGGGGAGGGGA